UCUCGGCGCUCCUCGGCGGGGAACCUGGCGGCCCAGGGCGCUCCCGGCUGCACGUGCUGUCCCCGCCGCCGCCCACGCCAGACAAAGCGGGGGCCCUCCCGGGCGCGUUUCCUAGGCGCCCUCCUUCCCUCGAUGAACCCUUUGAUUUCUUCCCUCUUCUCUAUUUCUCACGUCGUUCCAGCCCCCUCUGCUGCCUCCUGGAGCGCCUUUUUUUUUGUGCUCGCUGCCUCACGUUUGGCCCUCUCCAAAGCUCUGCCUUGACGAACGCCUCCAUUUGACCUUCCCCUUCCCCUGCUCUCUGGUCUCCCUUGGUAGCUUCACAGGACAUCUGAUGGAAAGCUCUGCAAAGUCAAGCCCAAGACCGUCUCACCAAGGUUCUGCGGCCAUCUCUAGAACCCCCGCUGGGACUCCCUGGCAGAGCCUGGAGGGGCUGAGGUUUUGGUGGACAUAUGUAAGGAAGGUGGGCAGGAGUUUCAUGUAUGCUGCACAUUGUAAGCACGUACAUUUUGAAUGUAUCCAUCUCCUUCUGUUUCUUUUCUGUCCAACAGGGUCAGCUUUUAUCUUCCCUUUUCUCCAGUGGGGAAAAUAAGCUCCAGGGUAGAAUCAUGCCUCAGGUAAGGAAAAGGAAAAUGUAUCUAGCAUUUCCGGAGGACCUU
rnacentral:lncRNA from 1 species